UGCCGGUGACAAACCGGAGGAAGGUGGGGAUGACGUCAAAUCAUCAUGCCCCUUAUGAUUUGGGCUACACACGUGCUACAAUGGACAAUACAAAGGGCAGCGAAACCGCGAGGUCAAGCAAAUCCCAUAAAGUUGUUCUCAGUUCGGAUUGUAGUCUGCAACUCGACUACAUGAAGCUGGAAUCGCUAGUAAUCGUAGAUCAGCAUGCUACGGUGAAUACGUUCCCGGGUCUUGUACACACCGCCCGUCACACCACGAGAGUUUGUAACACCCGAAGC
rnacentral:rRNA from 1 species